UACGGGGGGGGCAAGCGUUGUUCGGAAUUACUGGGCGUAAAGGGCGCGUAGGCGGCCUGCUAAGUCGGAUGUGAAAUCCCUCGGCUCAACCGAGGAACUGCAUCCGAUACUGGCGGGCUUGAAUCCGGGAGAGGGAUGUGGAAUUCCAGGUGUAGCGGUGAAAUGCGUAGAUAUCUGGAGGAACACCGGUGGCGAAGGCGGCAUCCUGGACCGGUAUUGACGCUGAGGCGCGAAAGCUAGGGGAGCA
rnacentral:rRNA from 1 species